CAGCCUGAACCAAUGAUUGAGCACUCGGCGAAGGGACACAGCCGGUCCUGUAAGCACAGGUGAAAACAGAUUCCACCCUUUUCUAAGCCUCAUUUAAGGGCUGGCUGCCACAAGGGAAGGUUUUCUACCUGGAGAUCCCUUCCUUUGGAAUAUUGAACAGGACCUGAUCCUUGAGGUUCUUAGUAAGACAUCCCAGGACCAUAUCUUUAAUGGAGAAUUAGCCUUCCUGUAGUCUCUGCCUACCUCAGAACACCAAUGCUGCAAGCUGGGAACUGACAGCUGGAUCUGCAGGACACCAACUGCAUCUCUCUGCUCCUGAGACUUGGGGAGAGCCUUCAGGGCUGUGAUAAAGUAGAUGCAACUGAGGUGACCACCUGAUCUUUAAUCUUCUUGUUUCCUUCAGCGUGACUCUGGGGUAAUGAAGAAACAGAAGUUUUGCAUCAGCAGGCUCCUGCAGUGUUUGUCCCAUCUGCAAGCCCAGGCUCCUCCUGUCAUGUCUGGGAUGGCUGCAUCUUUGAAGAGUGGGACCACAAUCAGCCACGAUUCUCAUGUUGGGAUGCUCACAUUCAAGGUGAAGCUGAGGCCUGCAGGAAAUGGUAAUAAUGUGAGAUUCCAGCUGGAAGAAGCUUUCUUGCAGAUCCAGCAAAGGACAGAGGCAUCUGUGAGAAGAAUUUCAAUAGAAUUCCAGAGAAUUACAAUGGAAUUACACAACAGCACGGAAAAUUUAUUUCUUGUUGACAUGAAGAGUCUGUUUUUUGUUUUCCCACACUGCUGGAGGAUGGUAGCAGAAACAUUAAUGGAUGUGGAUCAGCAACAUCGCUCACAGACUGGGAGAGGAGGAAGAAUAUCCUGCCCUUUACCACUGAAGCUUAAUACCAACUUACAGACCAAUCCAUGGCAUUCAUAUUCCUGUCAGCAGAUGUGGAUUUUCCAGCAGCAAAUAAGCCACUAAUGGUACAAAGUCUUUCUCAACAUGGUGUAACACUUGACCAACCCAGGCCAAAAAAUGAAGUCAACUCAUGCAUGUUACUGUAUCACAUCAGGCCAAAGAGCUUUGUCCUUCUGUCACCUAGCAAGGACUGUGUAUGGGGGACUCUUGUGUGUAUGUGUUACAAACCACUGUUGGUCACAUUAACAGAAUAAGAAACCAGAAACAUAAUGGAGGUCAAGUAUGAAGUGUUGUGAGCCUCCAAAUGUAGAGGUCAGGCAUACAAUGAAAACAACAAAACAAAAUUGUAAUGCUAGUUGCAAGCUGCGUGGAUAAUCAAUACCAGAAUGUGAUUCCUUUUAAUCAGGGGUUAUUUUAGAUGGCAUCAGAGGGGGAAAAAAAAAUUAAGUCUAAAUUUGCUAAUUGGGAAGUUGAAAUCCAUGGCUGACAGCAGGCUCCCAGGAAAGAAGUAGGUUGCAUGCAGUAAGAGUAGUGUUCAGCAACAAGGUCACAGCAGUUAGAUCACCAGUGAGAUAGAAGUCCACACUAAGGUAAUUCUUGUGAAUUCUUUUAUAUGCUCGAAGCAGAACAAGGAUAUUGAAGUGUCCUAUCUGGAGGAUUCUCUCCAUGGCACAGCACUCAUAAAUGAAAGCUCUCUGAUCUCAGCCUCUGAAUUGAACCAACAGCUAUCCUAGGCCUAGUAAGAUGGAAAGGCAGCUAUUUCCCAGAACUUGAAUGAUAUCCCCCUCAAAAAGUAUUUGAGCAACUGUUCUUUUGCAUUAAACUGUCCUCAGCUGAGGUGAGGUGGGUUAUUGUCAUAGUAGUGUGUGUGUGUGUGUGUGUGUAUUUUUUUACCUAAGUUUUUUGAUGUCUCUGAGUUGCCUCUUGCCUCAGCACAUCCUUUGCAGCAGGCAGGGUGCUGGGUGAGCCAUUGGGCUGCAGUGUUCAGUCAUGCUGUUUUUCUCUACUCGCUGUGGAUGCUGUCAGUUGGCACGUGGAGGCUCUCUGUUGAUGAAUGAGUGCUGUGAAGCAGAUGGGAUGGAAACAGAGAUGUUAUUGACAUUCAGUCAGACCCCAGUGAGCAGCUUUUUGGCACCAAUGGGCUGAGACAUGCCCACUUUUUAAAAGCUGGUCUUUUUUCAUUGACAUGACCCCGUGUGACAGCUCCCUCUCCUGAGAUUUCUUCUGAUUUGAUUUAUGGAGUCUGAAUUCCAGCUGCAUGCUACUUGGGGCACAGACCGAUGUGAUGCUCCAUGUGAGGUGCCCAGACAAAACAACAGCUUUAAAAUGUCAUCCAGCAGCCCCAGAAAGACUUGUCAGAGCUGGAGGGGACAGAUUCAUUGCUUGCAGGCAAAGGGAAAUGAGGAAAUGCAGGAGUUGUGCUGUAGGAAAAUCUCCCCCUAAACUGCUUUCUCCCAUGUACGAUUGCCUAUGCUGAGCCUAUUCAAGGAGUCUUUGGGAAAUACCUAAGAGGAUUUUUCCUUUCAGAUUAAGUGAUUUCUGGAUGAUUUUACCCACAGCACAUCAGCAGGGGGUGAGUUUAGCUGCACUUUGCCUGCACCAGUGAAAGAGAGGCUCAUUCUUUUGAAAAUCAUCCACUAAAUUAAUGAAGAUGUGAAUGUACAUUAGGCUGAACGUAUUUAGCUUAUUAAAGGCUCCUCUCUCAGAUCAUUUCCUUCUGUGUGUCUUUACAUCGCAGGCUCUUCUGUUUGUAAUUUCCAAAGUUAGGGAGGAAAAAAAAAAAGAUUGUAUUUUUUAAGAGGUUAUUCUCAGCUUUCAGCAGUCAGAAACUGUAUGUACAGUAGUCAGCCUGAAAUCCCAUAGGAAGAUGGAAGACCUCGCUGUGCUCAGUUAAUGCAGUAAUGAUGACUGUUGCUCUCUGCUCAAACAUAACUUGAGGUGAGUGCCACGAUUAACAAGGAGUAAGAACCUAAAUGAAAUGUCAAUUUCUGUUUUGUUGUGUUGAAUGAAUUACCAGGACCUUCAUGAUCUGAAACUUUGGCUAGGAUCAUUCUGCUCUCCUGGGGAAAAUAAAAUGUUUGGUCAGUGCCAGUUCCUUUGACUCCCAUUGUUUUCACUGGCUUUGGGAACAGAUCCUUAUUUUUGCUUUAAUUCUCUUUUUCACCCUUAUAGCUAAUGAAUAGAGUGAUGCAAGAAAUCUGCAAGGCAGUAUUGAAGGGAUGCUGCACUGAAGGAAAACAAGGAAGCUACUAAGAUUACAAGAAACUCAUUUUUUGAGGAUGGAAUGGGAAAAUAUUCUAUGAGAAUGUUGUCUUUGUGAAAGCUAAUUUGAGUGAGCUGGGUAUGGGAAGCUGAGGGUGGGGAGGUAGCGUGGGCCAUGAGUGCUCUUUUUCUUCACCUAUCUAUAGAUACUCACCUUUUCUGCUGCUACAGGGCUGAGAUUCCCAAGUACUUUCAUCAAGAUUUUGUACUGCUCAAACCUAUUGCUCUGGUCAGAAAGACAACGGCUUCUCCACUGCAGAGCCCAGAACUCCACUUAAGAUAUCAUGAUAUAUCGUUUAUGAAUCUGUAGAUAGCCCAGGAAUUAGGCCCCUUCCAACUGUUCCCAUUGAUGUGGUGAGAAAGUAUGACGUUC
ensembl:lncRNA